rnacentral:rRNA from 1 species
CCUACGGGUGGCAGCAGUGAGGAAUAUUGGUCAAUGGACGAGAGUCUGAACCAGCCAAGUAGCGUGAAGGAUGACUGCCCUAUGGGUUGUAAACUUCUUUUAUAUGGGAAUAAAAUGUUCCACGUGUGGGAUUUUGUAUGUACCAUAUGAAUAAGGGUCGGCUAACUCCGUGCCAGCAGCCGCGGUAAUACGGAGGAUCCGAGCGUUAUCCGGAUUUAUUGGGUUUAAAGGGAGCGUAGGUGGAUUGUUAAGUCAGUUGUGAAAGUUUGCGGCUCAGCCGUAAAAUUGCAGUUGAAACUGGCAGUCUUGAGUAUAGUAGAGGUGGGCGGAAUUCGUGGUGUAGCGGUGAAAUGCUUAGAUAUCACGAAGAACUCCGAUUGCGAAGGCAGUUCACUGGACUGCAACUGACACUGAGGCUCGAAAGUGUGGGUAUCAAACAGGAUUAGAUACCCUUGUAGUC